GUCAGGAUGGCCGAGCGGUCUAAGGCGCCAGACUCAAGGAUUACUCCUUCCUGAGUAAAAGGGACUUCUGGUCUCCAGAUGGAGGCGUGGGUUCAAAUCCCACUCCUGACA